rnacentral:rRNA from 1 species
AUUGAACGCUGGCGGCAUGCUUUACACAUGCAAGUCGAACGGUAACAGGCCGCAAGGUGCUGACGAGUGGCGAACGGGUGAGUAAUGCAUCGGAACGUGCCCAGUCGUGGGGGAUAACGCAGCGAAAGCUGUGCUAAUACCGCAUACGAUCUAUGGAUGAAAGCGGGGGACCGUAAGGCCUCGCGCGAUUGGAGCGGCCGAUGUCGGAUUAGGUAGUUGGUGGGGUAAGGGCUCACCAAGCCAACGAUCUGUAGCUGGUCUGAGAGGACGACCAGCCACACUGGGACUGAGACACGGCCCAGACUCCUACGGGAGGCAGCAGUGGGGAAUUUUGGACAAUGGGCGCAAGCCUGAUCCAGCAAUGCCGCGUGCAGGAAGAAGGCCUUCGGGUUGUAAACUGCUUUUGUACGGAACGAAAAGGUUUGGGUUAAUACCCUGGGCCGAUGACGGUACCGUAAGAAUAAGCACCGGCUAACUACGUGCCAGCCGCCGCGGUAA